CGCCCAAACGCCGUUCUUUCCUUUUCUAUUUCAUUUUGUGAUUUCAACCAUCCUUUGUCAGCUGAACUGACUAAUUUACCCCUGGCUGGCCGAGAGGAUAAGGUUCUGGCCGCGAUGUCCUCUGUCUCUCGCGCCCCUACGUCGUCCCCGUCGCGCGCCGCUAUCUUCCUCGCUCGACCUGGACAGCCAUGGCGCCACGCCGCCACCAGCGCGCCGUACGGACCCGCCACGGCGCCACCAAGCGCCCACCCCAGGCUGCCGUUGUGGCCGGCUAUGGCAGCUACUUGAAAUCGUUGAGGUCACUAAUGGCGCCCACGAUGCCGUGUUCAAGAUGGACUUCACGUCUUCACUGCAUGUUUAAAACUUCAAAUACGCAAAUACGAAGACAGAUAAACGAUUUAAAUUAACCAUCGAUGAUCGAUGCUUAACUAACUGAAUUACAUGGAGAGGUACAGAAACAUGAAGGACGCCAUGCUGGUGGCCGGCACUGUGCUCCGCUACCACAACGCGCAAGGAGCCAAGGACUUUGAUCCCGAAGCCAACGGAGACACGAGCACCGGCGUGUAGGCACAUAUAGCGCAAACCCGUCGGAGCCGGACUGCUGUCCGACGGCGGCGGGGACCGGGCCGAGGCAUCCUGAUUUCUCCACGCCGUCGACGACCUGCGCUGGCCCGCUCCGCCGUCGCCUUCGCGUCCAUCGGCAGCCGUCAGGAGUCAAUCGUUGCGGAUGGGGGACGGGAGGCAAUGCAGACCUCCAUUGCCGCGCCUAUCGAGCGUAAGCGGAGGGGCCCAGGCGGGAUUAGGAUGGGGCACACGCCCCUAGCGACGCACCAACGCGUCGCGGCGCCGGCGGGCACGGAGGGAAAGAAAGAGGGCGAGAUGAAGCUAGAGUUCGGUCCAAUCCAGGCUAAGGGCACAAUGGUCCGCUCACCUGAUAAAAUAUAGUUGAGAUCACAAAAUGAAUUAGAAAAAUGAAGAAAGGCAUUGUGGCGUGUGGAUACAGUUUCGGCAAUCUGGCGAAACCCAUUUGCGGGUUGAUAUUUGGACGAAACCCGCUUUUGAGGAUGGUGAAAUUGCAAAUUUCUCUUCUGAGGGAGUGAUAAUUCGAAACGGCAAGUAUGGCAUGAUAGUUGCUUUCCA
rnacentral:lncRNA from 1 species